CAAACAUUAUUCAAAUUAUGCCUUUACAGAAAGCACAAGGGAAGACAAUGCUUCCAAUAAUGAGCUACAAGCCCACACAAAUGCCCAUCCCUGAGGAAAAACAUUUCCAAUUAAUUUUGUUUUUGCCCCAACCUGGGAUCUCCUUGGUGUGAGGAAGGUCCAGAGUGGGGUCUUCUGCACCGGAACAGAUGGUCGUACAGAGUUACCUGAGGGACUGCAAGGUAAACUGCCUGCCCUUUUCUGGUCACACAGCUAACGUGUCUGAGGCAGCAACAGGGCCCCAGUUUUCCUGGUUCAAGACCAGCUAAUUGGUCACUCUUGCAUGCUAUCUCACAAGGAAAAUAGAUAAAGCUCUUCAAAUCGGUCAGAGCCAAACUCAAUUUUGGUGGCAGUUACUUCAUCUGCCUCGCCUCAGUUUCCCCACCUGUAAAGGGAGGGGGCUGGACUGACUGCUUUCUAAGGUUUCUUUUAGGGCUGACAUUCGAUGAUUCUAUGAACAUUCUCUAGGCCUGGCGAGAACUCCAUUAUCACAUGGCAGUUCUGGAAUUUUCAAGAACAGAACAUCGGUGCUGGAAGGGACCCCACAGGCUGCCCGGGGCCCCAGUGAUCAUUAAGACGGUGGCUUCUAAAAUGCCUGAUGCUAUAUCCUUAUGAGUAAUUUUUUUCUUGUUACAGAGCUGGAAAGGACCGCAGAGGCGCCAUGUCCAGUGCAGACCCAAGCAGGAAUCUUCUCUACCACACACCCUACCAGUGGUCAUUCAACCUUUGUGGGAGGAGGGAUCCCCAAGGAAACCUACCACCUUCCUCUCGGGAGAACCCACCUCCUUUGGAAUGGCUUUGUCCUGCCUGCCAGCCCACAUGUGCCUCUCUGCCCCUCCCCCCAGGGGCCAAGCAGAUCACGUGACAGCCCUUCAAAGACUUGGGGCCAGCACCCGGCCCUCUCCCCCCAUUCUUGCUUUUCCAGGCCAAAUAUCCCAAAUUCCUUAAGCCAAGCUUUUCAAAACACGAGCUUGGUGCCCUCACUGUCUGGCCUGCUGUCCUCUCAACAUCCCCCAGCUUACCAAUGUCCAUCCUAAAAUGAGGGAAGGAGGGACAGAGGGAGGGAGGAGGGAAGGAAGGGAGGAAGGGAAGGACGGAUGGACAGGCACAGCUGAUCAGGGCAUACACAGACUAUCACCUCCACAGGCCCAGACACCCUCCUCAGCUGCCAUAUCCCACUGCUGAGUCACGUUGCUUUGCAGUGCAUUAAAACCCCAAGAUGUUUUCCAGAUGACUGCUUUCUCACCGUGCCUCCCCCACCUUACACGUGUGAGCUGAUCCUUGGAGGCCAUGGUUAGGGCUCUGCAUUUAUUCCUCUCAUUAGAUUCCACCUCCAGCCUGGCCUCCUAAGAUCUCUUUAGACCUUGACUAGUAGCCAAUACGACAGCUCCUCCUCUUCACUCUGGGUCUUCUAAAAGUGGCUCAGCCUGUGCCAUCUGUGCUUUUAUCUACCGGAUCUACAGCCUCCACACCUUUACCCGAGUGGCUGAUAAAAACGUUAACCACUGCAAGGCCAAAUAUCCCUGGAACAUGUGGCUGGAAACCUCGUGCCAAGCUGAUGCCGAAGGAGUGGUUCAGAACCCAGAGCACACCUCUCAUCUUUUCCCUAAGAACAGCACGAGAGGUUCGUGCUUUGCUACAAUCUACAAACUGCACCUAGAGCAACACGGCCAGACCAGCUUGAACUGUGCCGGGAACUGACUUCAUGCUCAUCGGACAAUAGAUGGCAGGCUCCAUGUGAUUCCCUUUUCUGGCAAUUGAGACAAUCGCUUACUUCUCCAGAUUUUUUUCAGGACCUCAUGACACAACAAAGGAAAUGCUGAUGGCAGACGUACGUGGGGACAGCAAGCAUACUGCAGAAACCGUCAAAGAGAUCUACUUCUCUUUUUAUCUUCAGAAUUUCCUGCUUGGGAGCUUGCCAUCCGUCCUAGGAUAACUUCCUUUAUAGAACUUUGGUCCAAGGAAUAAAUAAAUGACAUCUUUGUAAGCACUUCUAGGCCCAAAGCACUCUGGAUACAAACAAAAAAUCAAUUCAGCCUCUGCUCUCCAAGAGUCCACAUUUUACUAAAGGGAGACAACACAGCGAACAUGGUGUCAGCUACAGGACAGACCCAAAGCCCCAAGGGUCCUCGGGAUGCAGCAGAAGGGCAGGUCCAGGGGUCUAGGCUGCAAGUAACUCAGUUUGGCUGGAGUACGGAGGGGAGAGAUGCGGUGGUAAAGCGUUCCCUCCCCAAACCCUGAGUGUAUUUCACAUGUCUGGCCAGCCUCCCUUCCUCUACCCAAAAAGUCUAAAAUAGAGCGUUGAUGUUGUUGCAAGGCUCCCACCACACCCAGGCCUCUCUGAACCACCUCCUCCCCUGGCUGAUCUAGUUCCAAGCAGGUGAUCUGAAGUAGGCUUGGAUAGUGGGCUCAUCCCGGCCCCUCCCUCCAACUGUGCAGAUUGCACCCCAUCCGUUCCUUUGAAUCCCUUGCAGCUCCUGCCUGUUCUCUGGCAAAUCCUCCCCACAGCCAUCGACCCACCACCCUCAUUAUCAUUCAACAUUUCAUCAGCCUCGGUCCUCGGUCCUUAGUCCUCAUCGGUAUUCUCAGGCCUCUACCCUCCAGCAGUCUUUCCAAAGCCUCCACUGAAGGAGGGGGCCCAGGCCAGGCAGCUCUUCCCUUCCCACCCAGAGGUACUCCUUUGGACUUCCCCAUCCUGCCCUGCAAUGGGUACCUUCCCUCCCCCCGGCUUCCGUUGGCGGUUUUUUCCCUCAGUAGACUGUAAGCUCCUUGAGGGCAGACACUAUCUUUCUUUUUUGCAUCGCUCCCCCACACUUAGCAUAGCGUGGUGGCAUGCAGUAGGUGCUUAAUAAAGGUUUACUGACUGAACAUCUCAACAGUAAUGGAGCAGGCAGGACGUUAUCCCCUGGCCACACUAUGACUAGCCUCCCUCCUCUUCCUUUGUUUUUUUU